UACGUAGGGCGCAAGCGUUGUCCGGAAUUAUUGGGCGUAAAGAGCUCGUAGGCGGUUUGUCGCGUCUGGUGUGAAAACUCAAGGCUCAACCUUGAGCUUGCAUCGGGUACGGGCAGACUAGAGUGCGGUAGGGGAGACUGGAAUUCCUGGUGUAGCGGUGAAAUGCGCAGAUAUCAGGAGGAACACCGAUGGCGAAGGCAGGUCUCUGGGCCGAUACUGACGCUGAGGAGCGAAAGCGUGGGGAGCGAACAGG
rnacentral:rRNA from 1 species